rnacentral:rRNA from 1 species
ACGCUCGACACCUACGGGAGGCAGCAGUGGGGAAUAUUGCACAAUGGGGGAAGCCUGAUGCAGCGACGCCGCGUGAGCGAAGAAGUAUCUCGGUAUGUAAAGCUCUAUCAGCAGGGAAGAAGAUGACGGUACCUGACUAAGAAGCACCGGCUAAAUACGUGCCAGCAGGACGGGUAAUCUGAGGCGGGCGUGGACGAAGGC